rnacentral:rRNA from 1 species
AGGACGAACGCUGGCGGCGUGCUUAACACAUGCAAGUGGAGCGACGAACCAGGGCUUGCCCUGGGGCAGAGCCGCGAACGGGUGAGUAACACGUGGGUUACCUGCCUCGAUGACCGGGACAACCCGAGGAAACUCUGGCUAAUACCGGAUGUGCCCGCAAGGGGAAAGGAAGCUUCGGCCUCCGCAUCGAGAUGGGCCCGCGGCCCAUUAGCUUGUUGGUGAGGUAACGGCUCACCAAGGCUUCGAUGGGUAGCUGGUCUGAGAGGACGAUCAGCCACACUGGGACUGAGACACGGCCCAGACUCCUACGGGAGGCAGCAGUGGGGAAUCUUGCGCAAUGCGCGAAAGCGUGACGCAGCAACGCCGCGUGGGGGAAGAAGGCUUUCGGGUUGUAAACCCCUUUCAGUUGGGACGAAGCUUCUCCGGUGAAUAGCCGGAUGGAGUGACGGUACCUUCACAAGAAGCACCGGCUAACUACGUGCCAGCAGCCGCGGUAA